UCUCAUUGGACAGCACAGUCAAAUGCAGGGAGGAUUGCCUGAAUCACAUGCACCCACACACAAAGUCCAAUAAUGGAAAGAGAUGUCAGGCAACACAGAGAUCCAUGCUUAAGUUAACACUUACGCGCACCAAUGUUCAACUGGGGCUUUCUCUUAAGUUUCAACUGAAAUCAUCCGGAUACCCUCAAGACUACCUGGACAUUGGAGUCAGGCAAACAUUUCUAUGAGGACCCUGCAUCAGGAAGCCUUUUAAGGGAUGUAGACAAACAGCAAUAAACUUUAAAUGCGGAUUUGAAAAAUGAGUCAUAGGGCCAGGGAGGACAUUAGAGACAUUCUCUUUGGAAACCAUAUCUACAACAGGCUGUCUCCGUCCAGGCUUGGAACAAUUUGUUAGCAGACACCAUCCAAUUUGAUGCCUCACUACGGACAUCUGUCAAGUUGCUCACACAAAUGAACUGUGCCAUGACAGAUCGAGUGUGCCAGGCCCUGCCACAUGAUGGGAAGUCGGCACCCUGAGGUCCACCUAUUCCCAGAGGCUUUGCCCCCUGGAAAAGAACUGACCCAGGAUAAUCAAGUUACGACCAGUUUGAGCGGCAGUCAUUCCAUUCAAGAUCUAAAGCCCAAAGGAGCAAAACAAGCCAAGAUGGUUAAAGAUAACAAUCAUCAUGGGGAUCUGGAGCACCAUAGUAGGAACAGAGAAGGACCCAAUAACAAUGACCCUCUACACCAAAGGUUAGGCAUCCUACAAUAGUCUGGAAAGAAAAACUGCAGUUAUACCGUGAGGUAUAACUACAGGGCAAUCCGUGUGUACACUAAUACAUUUAGUUCCCAACUUAAGAUGAUCUGCUAUGCAUUCCCUAGAAACGACACUUUUUUGAAUUUUGAUCUUUUCCCAGCUAGUGAUAUGCAGUGGGAUGCUUCCCUGAGACACUGGGCAAUGGCAUUGCACCACAGCUCCCCAUCAGCCCCUCGAUCAAGAGGGGAACAUCCGAUGCUCUACGUGGCACUGUGUCGUCAGCACUAUUUUGGAUACAGUUUUCUAUUUUUUCAUCUCAUCAUGCCUACAAAAU